rnacentral:tRNA from 1 species
GGCCGCCUGGCGAAAUGGCAUCGCGUCUGACUACGAUGGACAAUGUUCCCGUUGAUUAAGUAAUCAGGAGAUUGCAGGUUCGACCCCUGCGGUGGUCA